AGUUAGCAGCCUUUUGUACAUGCUCAGUAGACUAAAAAACCUGGGACUUUGACUGUUAGUUGAAUGUAAGCGCAAAAAAUUUAAUGUUUUACAAGCAAGCAUAAAUUUCUAUGUAUCUCCCUACUGAUUUUUUACUGUGAGAAUGUAACUCUUAGGAAUCGAUUAAAUCAUUUUUUACGGAAAGGAGUUUCCCCUGUUCUUGAUACUGUUGUCAUCAGAACAUAAGAUGCUCUGCUCUGUCUCUUUGUAAAAAAGAUUCAGCAACAACUGAACUUCCACUUUCCUCAUGGCCAGCUACCUCAUUUACACUAAUUUGACCAUAAACUAAACCUCUAAUAGCAUGCUCCUUCUUGUUGAGAUAUCCACCUCCAGGGAACUACGGCACAUAAGUGUUAAGGAACUGUAAACUUCUCUCAGAAUAAAUCGCUUUGGUUACCUCACUUUAAAUGAUGAAAAAACAUCACAAUAUAUGUUGCUCUAAUGUUCUUUAAUUCAAUUUUGAUUGUUCAGAUUUGUAGUCUAUUAUAAGGUCUACUUAAGCCUUUCCAUGAGAAGAUAAUUUAGCCUUAUUUGGUCUGUUCUGACCACAGCUGAGUCAGACUCCAUUUGAUUACGAUGUCGAAAAAAUUACAAUGGAGUACCAUAAGUUGUUCGGUAAAGGGGAUGAUCUGAAAUUUUUUUCCCCUCUAAAUCUGCAAACCCCUUUUGUGAAUGCUAUGUACAGCCUUAUCCAGUGGCCAACCAAACUCUAAAACACGUGAUUCAAGUAGCCAAAUCAGUGAAUAUAUACUGUUGCAAGGGUGCUGUUUUUUUUUUUUUUUGGGGGGGGCGGGGCCGGGUGGGUGGGGGUGUCUUUAUGGAUUUACAGAGUGUUCUAGCAAGUCAGAAAAACAUUGUAAUGAUUUAAGGAUUUUUUUAGUAUCCUUUCUGAUAUUAUACUCUUCCAAGUUAGAACCGGAAAACCUGGCCUUCCUAGAAUAAAGUUUUUGUGCAGGGUUAUACUCACAAGAACAAGAAUGAUUAACACUCUGCUGAGUGCUGACCUCACAUUUCAAAUUUCUGGAAGUAUAAGGAUCUGUUCUGAAAUUUUUUAAUUUAUAUUGGAAAAUGUAGUCGUGGUACUACCCAAUUUCAUUAUUAUUGUAGAUUUCGCUUCUACAGGGAGUUUGGUUUACCUUUUAUGGGAAAAAGUAAGUCCAAUCUACAGAAGUAUCCGUAAUUCUCUAGUCAUAUAUUGACUGUCUUCCAUAGUACAUUAAGUAGGAACCUUUUGGUAUAGUUUCUCUAAUUGUCUUGCACUUGUGAAAAUUGGCAGAAUUGUCCAGUUCCUUAUGAAAAAAAUUUUCAUUUUGCAUUUGACCAGUGCACUUUCUCCUUUUUGUGCAGGUUUCUCGACACAAAAGAGGCAUAAGAAAUGGACCAAAGGCAUUAAAACCUAUUCCCGUCAUCAUCCGUUGCAAGGCCUGUGGUCGAGUGAAACUGCCACAUUUCUUCUGUUGCAGCGGGGAAAGGGGAAAUCCUGGUGCACAGAAUGGUACAACCAACUGAUUCAAGCUCAUCAAUGUGGUACUGGACAGUUGAUGGACCAAAAAUGCAGCGGAGUAAGAGUUUCUUGUUGAACAUUACAAGGCUAUUCCAGGAUUGAGUUAACUUUCCAAGUUUCUAUCCUAUGGUAUACUGAACCAUGACUGACAGACUACAGGUGUAAUGGUCACAGAUUUCUAUUAUUAAACUUUGUAAGAUUUUUGUUGCCUUUUCUUGUAGUGUUUUUCUCCAUGAGGUUAGUCUCCUGGAGUCACUCUUGCUCGGUCAGUAUUUUCCACACAAAGAUACUGGAAUAAUGAGUGACUAUAAAUUAAUAGUAGCUCAUGGAUAGAUGGUGAAUGUGGUUUUGCUGAAUUCAGGGUAAUUUCUCCGGAGGGUCCCCUCUAA